GAAUAAACGAGAAAUAGAGGCGGAAUAGGAGAAGGAGCUAAGAUGUUUGUCGGGUUCCUGAAGAUGCGUCGACGUGUUAUCAUCCACGCAAGCUUCCCCAACCCAGCCAGUGUACCACAGGACGGGAGGAGGAAGCCAGCGGCUGCAUGCACCAUUGAACAGGACGGCAUUGUAUUCCUCCCACAGGAGUGACUACAGCGAAGCAAGCCCAGAAUAAAGUGUUGAGUGACCGUGAUGAUUCAGUACUACUAACACCAAAGAAGUGAGGGAAGUGUUUGGAGUGAACGUGCAAGACAUACAACAGAUACGAGACUGCUGCUGCUGCUGUUACAGCCGGGUUAGCCAAAGGAACAAAAGGUCUGGAGCAGGAGGAAGAAGAGGGUGAUUCUUGGAAACGUAUCAAUGAAGUUGUGAAGGUUGGCCACAAAUCUUCAUCACUGGUGUAGUGUAUUUCAUUGACUAUUUGUAACAUAACAUAACAUAAAUAAUAGGAUAAUAAAGGGCCUCCAAGGCCCAUCUAGGUUAUCCUGUAUCAUUGGCACAGCGACCUCGUCAUCAGUACUUAAAGAUACACUUAGAAGUACACAGUACAUUAUGUACUAAUUCUAAAUAUUUGGCCCAUUAACAGGGCUAAGUCCUGCAGCGAUUUCCUCUACACUCUGUGAUCCCCAUACAUGGGGAUCAUGUCUUGUUUAACUCUAAUAAUUCCCGGUU